rnacentral:piRNA from 1 species
UGUCAAUACAAGUUGGAUGGGUGUCACU